rnacentral:rRNA from 1 species
UGGGGAAUAUUGCACAAUGGGCGAAAGCCUGAUGCAGCCAUGCCGCGUGUGUGAAGAAGGCUCUAGGGUUGUAAAGCACUUUCAGCGAGGAGGAAAGGUUGUUGGUUAAUACCCAAUAGCUGUGACGUUACUCGCAGAAGAAGCACCGGCUAACUCCGUGCCAGCAGCCGCGGUAAUACGGAGGGUGCGAGCGUUAAUCGGAAUUACUGGGCGUAAAGCGUGCGUAGGCGGCAUGGUCAGUCGGAUGUGAAAGCCCCGGGCUUAACCUGGGAAUUGCAUUCGAAACUACUAAGCUAGAGUAUGCUAGAGGAAAGUGGAAUUCCCGGUGUAGCGGUGAAAUGCGUAGAUAUCGGGAGGAACAUCAAUGGCGAAGGCAGCUUUCUGGAGCAAUACUGACGCUGAGGUACGAAAGCGUGGGGAGCAAACAGG